UACAGAGGGUGCGAGCGUUGUUCGGAAUUACUGGGCGUAAAGCGCGCGCAGGCGGCCCUUUAAGUCUACCCGUGAAAUGCCGGAGCUCAACUCCGUGCACGCCGGGGGAUACUGGGGGGCUGGAGACAGGUAGAGGCAAGCGGAAUUCCGGGUGUAGCGGUGGAAUGCGUAGAUAUCCGGAAGAACACCUGAGGCGAAGGCGGCUUGCUGGGCCUGAUCUGACGCUGAGGCGCGAAAGCGUGGGGAGCAAACAGG
rnacentral:rRNA from 1 species